ACACCCGUACGCACACAAUGCUUCAUUCAGAGCCCUGGGUGUACGGCUGCUGAGAAGGAGGGGCUCAUGAGAUCUUCGGGAGGUGGAGGGAGAUGAACAGAAUGAUGGCACAGAUGGCCCAGUACAUUCCCAGUACCAAUUAAUCCCCAGUUAAAUCUGACACAUCUUAACCUGCGCUGAGACUCAUUCAGCACUACAGGAAAACCCAUAUGGCAAGAAGACACUUUCAGGCAGCAAUUUAGACCUGGCAGGAUGCCAACCCUUUUCUGGCUAACCCCCCACACCCCUUCCCGUUAAUAGACAUGUUUGUUCUACACGUCUAGCCAGCAUGCGGUAAGACUGUCCGCUUGUUUUAAUGAGGGCCGGUUUUGAUAUCACCUCGUCUUGCACUCAUGCAUUCGGCCAUUGCGAAGAGACGCUGAGAGUUACUGCAGAGCGGAGUGCUUUACUGAAAUACGACGUCCGAGAAUAAACCGCAACAAGGUUCCGAAACGGUGAACAACAGCGAGAUGCUUUGGCUGUAGAAAUGAAUGGAGAACAAAGGUUGGAGUGUUGAAUGAGGAUUUAAUGCAGUUGCUAAUGAGUUCAGGUAAAUGAAGCGAUGGCUGAUGGACACAGCUCUUGACUGGACUGAUAAAUCCCAGACUGCAGCUCAGGUUCAGCUGCUCUUAUUGGUCCAGAGGCCAUUGAUCGACCGGGCAAGACUGUGGAUUAGAUCUUCAGAUAAAGCUUGUUGAAGUGCUUUAGAUUGACAGUGACCUCUUGCUUGUUGUGAAAUCAAAUGACAGAAUCUUAACGCUGCUGCCAGCUUAAAUGGUGGAAAAAUCGGAUUUGGUGAUACCGAGCCGUUAUGGCUGAUAUAACGAUAAGUCGGAUGCAGUGCAAUAAUUGAUCAGUUUAGAUUAACAACAAAACUCCUUUAACUUGCUUGAAAUAAAUCUGCUGGUGACAGGAGCCCAUGAUGACAGCGGUAACUAUCUGAUUUAAGUUGUGUCAAGAUUAAUUUGACAAAUUCGUUGUCAGCUGUGGAUGAUCUUUAAGAUUCGUCUCACUCGCUCAGCAAGACAGAUUUUAUCCGAGCAAUUGAGCCAUCACCUAAAACUUUAGUGAAGAAUCCUUUCGAUCUAAUUGCUCAC